GUAUAGCUCAGCAGGAGAGCAUGUGCUUAGCACGCGCAAGGUCCUGGGUUCAAUCCCCAGUAC
rnacentral:tRNA from 1 species